UAGGAGUCCUCAAUGAGUCUGUCGCACACACGCACACACAAACACGAGUACGCACGCACGCACGUUCCUCCUACCACCUCCCCACUCCUCCGUUCCCCAAGAGAGAGCUAGCGGCAGAAGGAUGUCUUUUGUGAACCACCUAGGGCAGUCUUCACUGGCGACACGUUACGUGCCGCACUCUGACCUGACGAAGUCGCACUACGAGCGUCUCCUGCUCGACGUGCGCCGCUACCUCCCACCAGGUGUGGAGGACGACGUGGAGGAGAUCGCCGAGCAGGUGUUGAACAUUGUGUGCUCGGCCGCGUCAGGCGCAUCCUCCUCGGCGGCGACCCUGAGCGAGCAGCAUCAAAGUCUUGAGCGGCUGCUGGACACGCGCCUAAGCCGCGAGGUUCGCGACCACCUCAUGCAGUAUGGGAAGCUGAUCACCGACUACGUGGCGAGCGACAAGACAGCGGAGGCAAACGGUACGUAUGGUUUGCCAUCGACGUCCUCCGGUGCGCUGGGUGUACAGGAUUUGAACUUCGCGGGCCCCAGUAGCAGCGACAGUGACAGCAACGACAGCGGCGAUGCCGUGUGUAGCGACGCAGAAGAACGACGCAAUAUCGAGCUACUGACGGGCGGCGCAUCCUCCUCGGCGGCGGAGAGAAAAGGACGGCGCAAGAAGCGCAAGGCACUCAUGAAGGCUGACCAGAACCUAAUGCAAUACGCCUUCGCCGAGGAAGGUGGCAUAGCUGACACGGUAGAGGAAGCAGAAGCGUGGGGGGCUUCCGCGCCACUUGGUGCCGGCGGGGCUGCCGCAGGGGAGUUGAGCUGUGAUGAGUAUGACGAGGAUGGCGCGCUGGCGACGGGGGCCGCGGACACGCCUCGGAUCCCGUUUGAGGAGGUCGCGUGCAACGCGCAGUUUCUCAAAGACGCCGUGCGACGUCUCUUCCCGGCUCACGACGCUGAUACCUGCCACAGCCUAGCACAGCGGGUGCUGAACUUCCUGAGCGAGAGGGAGGAGGAUGACUUCACGCUGGAGACCCAGCUCACCACGUGCCUGGGCGGCUAUGAGGAUGAGGUGGUUAUGGACUGGAUCGGCGACGUGGUGCAGUCGCGCUGGAGCGUUGUGUACGGGCUGCGCUACGCCCAAUGCACAGCACAAAAGGAGCGCCACGCAGUCAUGGAUGCAAUGCAGCGACACGCCCUCGAUGACCCGCGGGUCGAGCACCUGUACCAGAGUAUCACCGGCAAGGAGGUGGACCCACUGAACACAGAACAACUGCAGCAGCGCCGCGAGUCUGCUGCCGCGGGUGGCAACGAGGAGGUCGAAUCUAAGUUGGCGUCCACAGUACCUCGGCAGCCUCUGCUUCGACGAGUGAACCUUCAGGCCUGCGCCUUUCAGGAUGAGCGAGCACCGCACCUGCACGUGCGCGCCACGGUACCGCAAGGCACACAGCGGCUGACCUACGAGACUCACGACGAGGUCCUUCUUCCGCCAACCUCGUCGUGCAACACGUCGAACCCGCUCAUUCGAGUUGCCACGUCUUUCCCAGGCUGGGCGGUGCCGGUAUUCUUGGGCGUGGAGGAGCUCAACGCCAUGCAGUCCAAAGUGUACGACUGCGCCUUCCACUCGGACGAGAACAUGCUGGUGAGCGCGCCGACCGGGGCCGGUAAAACGAAUGUGGCGAUGAUGGCGAUGCUGCGCACCAUCGCGGCAGCUCGCAACCCCGUGACGGGCGUGAUUGAUGGCCACAGUCUGAAGAUGGUGUACGUGGCUCCCAUGAAAGCGCUCGUGCAGGAGGUGGUGCGCACCUUCUCGAAGCGACUGGAGUCGCUCGGCCUCACUGUGGCUGAGCUGUCCGGUGACGCGGCCAUGACGCAGCAGCAGAUGGCCACCACACAGCUGAUUGUGACGACACCGGAGAAGUGGGACAUCGUCACGCGAAAGUCCGUUGAGCUCGGAGUGGCAUCGCUGCUGAAGCUGCUCAUCAUCGAUGAGGUGCACCUUCUCCACAACGAACGCGGCCCGGUGGUAGAGGCGAUUGUGGCGCGCACGAUGCUGCAGCAGCAGCUUCGCGGCGAGGGCGGUAUUCGCCUGGUCGGGCUCAGCGCCACCCUUCCAAACCACGCGGACGUCGCGGCGUUCCUGCAGGUGAACCGUCAGCGCGGUCUCUUUGUGUUCGACAGCAGCUACCGCCCCAUCCCGCUGGAGCAGACCUACUGCGCCAUCAAGAAGAUGAAGGGCGUGGCGCAGAGUGCCGUCAUGAACCUCGUGGCUUACGACAAGGUGCUGCAGACGGUGCAGGCCGAGGAGCAGGUAAUGAUCUUUGUGCACUCGAGGCGGGAGACCGAGCACACGGCGCGCUACCUGCAGAAGCGCGCUGCCGAGGAGCGCCGCGGGUACUACUUUGUGCGCCCCGACAGCGACAGCCACAAGGCGCUGGUGGAGGCCAGUAGCGGAGCCGGUGGUGCCGUGCUGCGCCGCAGCCUGCAGCAGCUUUUGCCGGACGGCUUCGGCAUCCACCACGCCGGCCUCAGCCGAGACGAGCGCAACACGGUGGAGCAGCUCUUUGCAGACCGCCACAUCAAAGUUCUCGUGUGCACGUCGACGCUCGCCUGGGGCGUGAACUUGCCCGCGAACCGCGUUAUCAUAAAGGGCACUCGCGUCUUCAACGGCUCCAAGGGGCAGUCGGAGCUAAUGAGCGCGCUGGACGUGCUGCAGAUGUUCGGGCGAGCCGGCCGUGCGGGCUAUGGCGCGGCCGUGGGCAGGGCCACCAUCAUCACUUCCCCGGAUGACCUUCAUUACUACCUCAGCGUGCUGAACCAGCAACUGCCCAUUGAGUCGCAGAUGAUGCGGCGGGUGGUCGACAUGCUCAACGCCGAGAUCACCCUGGGCCAUGUGGAGACGGUCGAGGAGGGGGUGCAGUGGCUCCAGCGGUCUUACCUGUACGUGCGGAUGCGGCAGGUGCCGGAGGUGUAUGGCAUUCGCGCCAGCGCCAGUGAUCCGCUGCUGCUGCACCACCUCGCCAACAUCGUCCACACAGCUUGUGAGGAGCUGAAGGAGUCAAAGAUGGCUGACUACGACGCCCGCUCCAGGAAGGUGGCCGGCACCGCGUACGGCCGCAUCGCUUCCUACUGCUACAUCACGGUGACAUCCAUGGCCGCCUACCUGGGACUGAUGAGCAACGCCAUGCAGGACGUGGAGCUGUUCCGCGUCUUCGCCUCCUCUAGCGAAUUCGCGAAUAUCGGCGUACGAGCGGAGGAGCAGGCGCAGCUCAAGGAGCUCCUGGAGAACGCUCCGGUGGCGGUCAGGGAGUCGCGCUACACGCCGAUGGCGAAGAUCAACAUCCUACUCCAGUGCUACAUCAGCCAGAAGGGUCUGGAAGGAUUGCCGUUGAUGAGCGAGAUGGUGUACGUGAAAGACUCCGCGCAGCGUAUCCUGCGAGCGCUGCACGAAAUUUCCCUCGUUCGCGAGUACGGUCGCACGGCGCGGCAGUUUCUCGAGCUGUACUUGAUGACGGUACACCGGCAGUGGGCGGUGCAGUCGCCGCUGCGGCAGGUGCGCGAUUACUUACCGGCGAAGCACUUCGAUGCAAUCCUGCCGGCGCUGGAACGCGUGCGCGUGCCGUGGGAGGAGGUGCGGCGGUGGAGCGUCGAGGACCUGGCCGAGAAGCUCAGCGACGACCGGCGCGCGCAGUCUGCGUACGAAGCGAUCCAUGUUGUGCCGCACUACGCCGUCGACGCUGCCGUUCGGCCGCUGACGCGUGGGAUGCUCUACGUGGACAUCGACAUCUUGCCGGACUUCGAUUACGUCGAGUCCCUGCAUGGCUGCUCGGUGUGCGAGGUGCUGCUCAUGAUCGAGCACACGAACGGCCGCCUGCUGCACCACGAGUCCAUCCUGAUCCCCUUGGCAAAUGUGCUGGAGAAAGCCGCCUACGCCUGCCCGCCGGUGGUGGUGCCGAUGGUGGAGCCGGCGCCGACGCACCUGUUCGUGCGUGUGGCCUCCCCGCACUGGCUGGCCGCAACGGCCUUCACCUCGGUGUGCCUGCUGAACACGUUGCUGCCGCCCGUGGCGGCGCCGCUGCGCGAGGUGGAUCAGCGGCCGCCGUCUCAGGAUGCGAACAUCACGUCUGUUACGGAGCGCCUCGCUCCGUAUCAGCUCCACACCGUCGGCGAGAUGCUCUUCCCCUUCCAGGACUUCACGGCGCUGCAGUCGGACCUAAUCGACCCCAUCUUUCUGGAUCAUCCACACAACCUCCUCGUCGGUGUUCCGCCUGGUGGUGGCAAGACGGCCAUCGCGGAGCUCUUCGUCCUGCAGUUUUUGCUCGAGGAGGCGCUGAAGGAGAAGGAGCGGACAGCGGGGGUGCAGCAAAAGCAGCAGCGGGACGAAGAAGAGGGGUCGGCCACACAGUCGACGCUGCUGCUUCCCGGCAAGCUUCUCUACCUCACCAGCAACCCUGACGUCGUGCACCGCCGCGCGCUGGACUGGCGCUACAAGUUUGGCGAGGUGUUGAAGCAGCGUGUCGUGGAGCUCGCCGGCGGCGUGAGCGACGACACGGACGCCGACGACGCCGAGACAGUAAGCAACGCCGUCGAGGUGGCGUCGGCCGCUAUCGUGCUCGCCACCGGCGAGAAUCUUAUUCGCCUUGUGCGUCGCGGUGACUCGGCGCUGGCCGGCGUGACGCACAUCGUCGUUGAUCACCUGCACCUUUUGAGGGCCCCCGAGGGGCAGGCGAUGGAGGAGUGCAUGGCGCGGCUCAACAGUGAGCCGUUCCUUGUGCGGCGCGGUGCAGGGCGCGCGCGCGUGCUGGGACUGACGUACCCACUGAUCAGCACGGCAGAGCUUGGCCGCUGGUUGAAGGUGUCAGUGAGCCACCAGUACAAUUACGGCGCCUCCUACCGGCAGCUGCGAGUGCGCAUGGUUGGCUUGGAGUUGCCUGGCCCCCGAAGCCGCUACGAAAGCGGCGUUAUCGCAGCGCUGAAGCUGCUGCGCCGGCCCUCGUACGCCGCAGUUCCAACGGUGAUCUUCGUUCCAACGGCACACCAGGCGCGAGAGGUGGCGCAGCGCAUACUGCUGCGGUGCCGCGACAACUACAUUCCUGAAACCACCGAGCACGCCACUGACGACGCGCGACUCGCCUUCUUCCUGGCGGCUGGUGUCGCCUACAUGCACAAGGGGACAAGCGAACUCGACGCUCUCGCGAUACAGGAGCUCGUUGACGCACCUGCCGUCUACCCCACUACGCAGGCGUUGUUGCCCUUGCGCCUCGUCUGCGCCUUCGACGCGGCCUGGCGAUUGCCGGCGGCUCUCUUCACGAAUGCCAUCGUGUGCUGCGGGGAGCGUCUGACCGCCUUCGAGAGCGAGGACGGCGAGCGUGGCAUGCGCUAUCAGGACUGCACCGUCGUGGAGCUGAUGCAGAUGGCGUCACGCGCUAUGAACGAGGCGGUGAUGUGCACUCGCACGUCGCGGGUGUGGGUGUUGGGUAAGCUGCUCAACGAGCCGCUACCGCUGGAGUCGAGUCUGCGGUACGCGGACGACUUCCGCGACACGGUGAAUACGGCCAUCGCACAAGGGCGGGCGCACAACCGCGUUGACGUGCUUCGUGUGCUGUCCUCGCACUACUUCCUCUACCACGCCAAGGCGAACCUGCACUUCUACGGUGUGCCCACAGUGGCCGAUGUGUCUCUGUACGCCUCCAGCUUCGCUUCGCAUGUGGUGACCUCGCUGAAGGAGCUGAAGUGCAUCGAGGAGCUUCGAGUGCGGCGGCGCCAUGCGGAUGGCGACGGCGCUGCGGAUGAGGAUGGCGGUAACAGCAACGCAGAGCUCGGGGAGGCCGAGGAGGACGAGGACCCGCACGCCCCUCUGCGACCCACGGCGCGCGGUAUGGCCCUCGCCUACCACUGCAUUGCGGUCAGCACCGCAGAGGACCUCGUCCGUGUCCUGCCGGGCUCCCUCGAGGCCGAGAAGAAGGCCGCCCUCUAUGACUGCACGACGUACCUUUGGCAGAUCCUGUCACACCACUGCGCCGAACUCACGCCGGCGCACCUCGGCGACGCCGCGCGGGUGACGGAGGCGGCGGAGUACCGGGCGCUGCACUCCAUUGCGCGUGCUUUGCCAGAGUCCAUCGGCGUGCGCUACAUCGACCUCGACUUCGGCGCCACAGGGACAAAGAUCUAUGUGCUCGUGCUCGCGUACUGCAGUCGACUCUUCCCUGCCACCCACUUCCAUGCUGCCGGCUCCGCUUCGUCGAUCGAGGAGGGCACCGCAGCGGCGGCCGCCUUCGACGAGCACUUUGGCCACAGCCUCUACCAUGCCGCCGUUCCGGCCGCGGCGCGCGACGCGCUCUGCAACGCCGUGUCGGACGACACCGCUCAGCGCCUCGUGCAAGACGUGCGCUCCAUUCUCCCAACAGUGCGUCGCGUUGUAACUGCGGUCGUGGAGCUUCUGGACGGCGACACACAGGCGUGGGCGGUUGCUCGCCUGAUUCGAUUCGUUGCGUGCCUGCAACAGCAGGGUUGGGACAGCGAGCCGCCGGUGGCGCAGCUGCCGUGCUGGCGCGCGUCGAGGUGGGCGUCCGUUGAUGCCAGGCAGGCCAUUCAAAGCAGCUGCACGCUGCAGGAGCUGCAGACGAACCCGGCGGAAGCUGCGUCAAAGCUGGAGCCCGCUCUGCGUGGUGUCUUGACUACUGAUGACGCUGCGGUGGUGGUGCCCCGCGUGCUUGCCUCUGCAGCGCAGGACGCUGCGGGAGUGCCGCAGGUGGUGUCGAUCAGUGCCAAGGGGCGCGUUGAGGAGAUGAAUGGCGUGCUAGCCAUGGUGGUAGGUGUGACUGCGCAGCUCCGCUGGAGCGCGCCAACGACGCUGAAGUUGUCCAAGGGCAGCGACGGCGCCGAUCGCACAUCACAGGACGACCUCACCGAAGAUGCUGCACCGGCGUUGAAGUGGUGGGUGCGGUGUGUCAUCUCGCAUCGGUCGUCCGUCACUUCACGAGCUGGGGCGUCAGCGGGCACUCGGCAGCUGGCCCUGCGAGUUAGCGUGGCGAAAAGCGUCACGGGCGCAGAGGCGACGUCGUUGUAUGAGGUCUCCUCAGACGUUUUUUUUUCCUUGGCGCGGCUGGAGGCGGAGGACUUGGACGCUGUGGAGAUGCGCGCGGUCUUGACGAGCAUGGCUUACUGCGGAGUUGAAGCCACGGCUGCAGUGCGGUUCGAGGCAGACGAGGAAGAGGUCGAGGACGGAGAAGGCAUAUGACCCGUUGGUGGUGGUGGUGGUAGCAGUGGUGAUGAGCCUGCAGAGAGGCAUCUGAAAACUCGUGUGCGUAAUAUGGGGAGGAGCUCAAGCUGACUGGAGCGAGAUGCUCUUCACGGUAAGUGGCGGUGACGAGUUGGUGGCGCCGAGAAUGCGAUGAACGAUGACAAUAGUGGCUGUGGUACGGGCGCUGAGUGAGGGCGGCGGUAGCGGUGGCAGUAGUGGUGGCAUCGACUGGGUGUAGGGGGGAGAUGAGUGGCCGAGUGAGGAGUGCUGCACCCCCCCACCCCCACCCCUCCUGCUCCCUUGCUCCCGUCGGAUACCCUUUGCAUCAUCGCUUACGCUUCCCACGCACCACUACCCUCUUCUUUUUCGGGCCACUAAAGAGGUGCAGCGAAGAACCGAUAAAGACGACGAGCUUCGAUAGUCUUUGGCAGCAGCGGCGAGGGCAACGCCAACAACCAUGAGGGCGAAUAUGCAGAGUUGCGCAGGCGGACGCAUGCCUUGGCUUCCUUCUUUCUCCAUGUAUGUGUCGAGAGGCACGACGGGGUGGUUGGUGCAUCGUUCACGAGCUCUCAAAGGGACGCGCACUCAGAGGCCAUGUGCGUGGCUUGCUCUGCUGUUCUGGCGCCCUCCCCCUCCUCCCUUUCCGGUUGGCGCUUAGUGAGUAUGCGCGUAGGCGAGGAUGUAGCGGGCUGAUGUGGGCGGAGAAGCCCGCGAAUGCAAGCAGAGCACAAAAAGGAGGGAGGCAAAGAGAGCGGGGCGCGUUCCUCCGCCACUCUCAGCAUCACAUCUCAUGCGCGCUAUAGGUGAUAUACCGCCAGCCCCAUUCUCAACCCCAUUCUGCAUCUUCCCUUUGCCUUCAUCUCUUCCUCCUUCUUUCCAACGCUUUCUCGUCUCGUGCUACCACCAG
rnacentral:misc_RNA from 1 species